GUUUCGUAAGAAUUAAUAGGGAAAUUGGUGCAAAUCCAAUGCGAUCCCGUCACUGUGAUAAAGGGUUAGUUUUUAUACCACUGAGUAAAUAUACUUGGGAAGGAAAAUCUAACAAUGCUUUUUAGCCAGGAGACCUGCUUUUAUAAGUU
rnacentral:ncRNA from 1 species